rnacentral:rRNA from 1 species
UACGUAGGGGGCAAGCGUUGUCCGGAAUCAUUGGGCGUAAAGAGCGUGUAGGCGGCCUGGUAAGUCCGCUGUGAAAGUCCAGGGCUCAACCCUGGAAUGCCGGUGGAAACUGUCAGGCUCGAGUCCGGAAGAGGCGAGUGGAAUUCCUGGUGUAGCGGUGAGAUGCGCAGAUAUCAGGAGGAACACCAAUGGCGAAGGCAGCUCGCUGGGACGGUACUGACGCUGAGACGCGAAAGCGUGGGGAGCAAACAGG